rnacentral:rRNA from 1 species
AGCAGCCGCGGUAAUUCCAGCUCCAAUAGCGUAUAUUAAAGUUGUUGCAGUUAAAAAGCUCGUAGUUGAAUUUCGGGAUUCUACCGUCGGUCGGGCUACCAAGUCUGUACUGGUGUGUAGAAUUCCUACCUUCUGGGGAACCAUCAUGUUAUUAAUUUAGCGUGGUGGGAAACCAGGACCUUUACCUUGAAAAAAUUAGAGUGUUCAAAGCAGGCUUAUGUCUGAAUACAUUAGCAUGGAAUAAUAGAAUAGGACGGUGGUCCUGUUUUGUUGGUUUCUGAAUCACCGUAAUGAUUAAUAGGGAUAGUUGGGGGCAUUAGUAUUCAAUUGUCAGAGGUGAAAUUCUUGGAUUUAUUGAAGACUAACUUCUGCGAAAGCAUUUGCCAAGGAUGUUUUCAUUAAUCAAGAACGAAAGUUAGGGGAUCGAAGACGAUCAGAUACCGUCGUAGUCUUAACCAUAA